CCUCACAGGAAACACAGACACAUACACACAUACAGACACGCGUGCUCUCUGCGGUCCCGCAACAUUCACACGCCCCUGCAACGGACGACAAAGUAGGAAGCACGCAAAAAGAGGCGAAGGGCCCCACCGUGCUAUCCGCAUUCUCAUCAACAUAGCCCACACACAUCUACCCCCAUACGCGUACACACAUUCCCUCGGUCCAGCCUUCUUUGCAGCCAUGAAAUCCGUGCUCAAGGCGGGGCGCGAGAAGGACGUGGACGUGGUGGUGCCGCCGAAGGAGCUUACCAUCAAGCAGAUCCAGGACCAAAUCCCCGCCAAGUACUUUGAGCGCUCGGCGGUGUGGGGCAUGUGCUACGUCUUCCGCGACAUCUUUCAGGUCCUGGCGCUGUACUUCAUCAUGUAUCGCGCAGUGAUGCCGGUGCUUUCUGCAUUCGGGGGCAUUGUGUAUGGUGUGGCUGGCGCGAACAUCGUCAGCUGGACCGUCGUCGGCGCCGUGAAGUUUGCGGCGUGGACCGUGUUCGGGAUAGCACAGGGCCUCAACGGUUUCGCUAUUUUUGUGCUCGCACACGAGUGCGGUCACCAGGCCUUCAGCUCGUACCGCUUGCUGAACAACGCCGUCGGCCUGCUGCUCGACUCCGCCAUCCUCGUCCCGUACCACAGCUGGCGCAUCAGCCAUGGCAGCCACCACAAGCACACAAACCACCUCACCAAGGACACGGUGUUUGUACCACGCAAGGAGCAGCGUGUGAUCGACCUGGUCGAGGAGACGCCGCUGGUGAUGCUCUGGAAUAUGCUUGUCAUCUUCACGUUUGGCUGGCCAGCGUACCUCGUAGCCAACAUCGCGAGUCAAGACUACGGUCGCCGCACCAACCAUUUCGAGCCUUCGUCACCGCUCUUCAACAAGGACGACGGGCCCGACAUCGUGCUCUCCAACAUCGGCAUCGUGGCUGCGCUCUUUAUCUUGGGUCUCUGCACUUACCAGUACGGCGCCUACAACGUCUUUUGCUGGUACGUCGUGCCGUACCUUUGGACAAAUUUCUGGCUGCUCUACGUCACCUACCUCCAGCACUCUGACUUGCGCAUCCCGCACUACACGCAUGCGCACUGGACGUUUGUGCGCGGCGCCAUCGCCACCGUCGACCGCGACUACGGCUUCAUCAUCAAUGAGUGGCUGCACUACAUCAACAACUCCCACGUUGUGCACCACCUCUUUAGCCAGAUGCCCUUCUACCACGCGAUCGAGGUGACGCGCCACCACAUCAAGGACAUCAUCGGCGACGCCUACGUCACGGACAGUCGCUCCCUUGUCGAGAUGCUCUGCGAGACGUGGAGAGAGUGCCGCUACGUUAUCCCGUCCGAGGGCAUCAGCGUGUUCUACAGCUUCACAGGGAAGGGUGCGUAAUACAGAAAACGCGCAUGCAAGAUGGAAAGAGAAGCGACGAUGCAGUUGCGCCGCGUGCUGUCCUGUCAAAUCGUGCCGUCGCUCGCGACGGUGAUGGCAAGGCUGCGCGUCACCAUCAUCGCAUCAUGCUCUGACCAGACCAUCGGUUCCUCUUCCGUUCUUUGUGUUUCUUCUUCCUCGUCCACACCUUUCCUUUUUCUUUCUCGAGUUCUCUCUUUUUUAGCUCUCUGUGGGACCACCUCGGCGCGGACGCCACAUCUCUCCUCCUUUGUUUAUCCUCUGUGAUGAUUACCCCGCUCCUCUUCAAUGUAUCUGCCCGUCUGCGCGCCUUCGCUCUUCCUGUUUUCCCUUUCCGUUUGCCCUGCUGACGUAGGGAUACCCCUCUCCGUGUGUGGUGUCAGGGCUCAGUACCCCGACUCUGCGUGAGGGGAAGCCAUGCACCCUCUUAACCCCUGUCGAUGUCAAGCCACCUCUGGUUGUGCCAGCGACAAUCACCCACGCGGUUGAGGAUGCCAGAGCGAUGCAUGGCUGCUGAUGUCGGCGGUGGGGUGGUGGACGGCGUUGCGUUGGAGCGGCCUGAGACAGCGAACACGCGUGUGCCAUCCACAUCAUGGGCACAGUGCCAAUGCCACUCCAAUGCAUCUUCACCCCGCCCUGGCACUGCCUGCAGGUGUGGGGCGCCUGAGCCACCUCGAGGGGGGGAUGCAUCAGGUGGCUGCCGGCACCAUGGGAGCGGCUGUGAGGCGACCUGACCUGCGAGGCAGGGGGGCGGGUAGAGUGUGAGGCAGAGGCUGCGCUGCGACAACGGGGCCGGCGUAUUGCUGUGACCCGUGCCUACGACUGAUUGGAACGACGCGAUGGGCCCAUGACAACGCCCGGGGAUAGGGUGGAGUCCGAUUCUUGCUUUAUGGCAGAAAGGAUUCGUUGACGAAAAGGACUCCAGUUUCUCGGUCCUGUUCGCCGGUCUCUUCAGGGCUCCCUCCGUCUUUUUUUCGCCGUUAGUUUCACUUCGAAUGUGUAUGUCUUUUGAUUGGUGACUGUAAACGGAGAGGGAGGAAGGGCAUGGUGCGCGUCCCUUUCUCCGUUUCUUCUCCCCGCCCUCCUUCCGCAGCCCUCCUUUCCGCUGACUAGGUCCGUGGAUACUCCUCUGCACGAAAAAGCGGAAAAACAGCGGCCGUGUGACCGCAAUGAAAUUCGCAACGAGUGGAAGAGCGCUAGAGCGAUCUCCCGCAACACACACACCAGCAAACACCUGCGCACCAUGAUGGCGACCCUUUCGCGGUUUUGCCCCGGCUUCACCGUGGACAGGAGAUACAGAUCGCGUGUGCCGAUGCGAGUGUUGUCAUUUUUUGUGUGUUUUUUUUCUUUUUAUCCUUUUGCCCCUUUCUGGAGCGUGCAGAGAGGACAAGAUGGAAGGCGCGUGUGUCUACUGCGGCCUCCUCCUCUGUUCCCUCCCUCUUCGCCCUCUUCCUCUUGUCAUCCAGGCUGAGGUAUGCACUGUAUGUCCGGAGGAACACAUGCACGUGUGCGUCAACGACUCGCUGCGGUGCUGGUACGCCCCCGCAGCUGUCAGGUCGCACUUGUACCCUUGCAGGGUGACUGGCGUGCAAGAUGUUAAGGAAACGAGAGAGAAGGGCACCGCCUACUCAACGAACCCACAGGUUGUUUUGUGUGCGGGUUUCUGUGUCGUUGAGCACCUGACAACCCGCGGCUCUACGCCGCCGCCAUGCUGCUCCCUUCUUUUCAGCUUUUCUUGUUUCAUCUGUUCUUCGUUGACGCGUAAGAGGCAUCUGCAGUGAUGAUGCCUCGUAAAGUAAAUUCCACCACACCUCUCCCCACAACGAGAGAAGAAAAGGAUUUGCGCUUACCAUGAAGCGAUACAUUCCCUCUUCUUUCGACAACGAAGAAAUACGCAGCAAUAUGAGAGCUGCUUUUUCGUGCAUGUAGUACAGAAAUGUUCGUGUGCUUACUGCGCCUCUCUUGGGCAAGGCGCUUGCUUGCAGCCUUGCUCUGUUUGGCCGUGCGCCCACACAUAGACUCCC
rnacentral:misc_RNA from 1 species